UCCGGUAUAGUGUAACGGUCAACAUACCUCGUUUUCAAGAGUAUCUCACGAUCCGAGGAGCUCGGGGUUCGAUUCCCCGUACCGGAG